ACGCGCCGGCAGCUGCAAAGAAAUGCUCGCAGCAGCCUCUGAAUCCAUUGUGGGCGUUUUGCCGCGCUCGAAAAGAUUUAUCAGGGAUGGAAAAUAAAGAUAAAAAUCAAGUGAUGGAGUAUCUUAUUACAAAAACAUGACAGAAUUUACGUAGAGUAAUUAAGAUGCUUGUGUUAGAGAUUAGUCGAACUCCUGUCUUUUGUUGACUUGUUCAGGACCAUCUUUAGUGGUGAGAUAAGAUAUUGCAAAUCUGAUCAAGGAAGUUGGUGUUUGCAUGAUGUUCUCCUGAAGGAGCAACAGUGGCUGCUGUGGUUCUCAUAUCCCUGAUUCAAUACUCAAGUCAUUCUGUCUCUGUUUUGCAGAAUAUGAUGGACCACCAUGCUCCAGUUUAUGAUAAAUAGGUCUGUGUUACUGUUGGCCAAAACCAGCCACCUAUAACCUGCAUGGAAACACUCCAUUGUAUUGAAACAUCUCAAUUACGUUUACUGUAUUUUAUGUAUUACUGAUUUUUGCUUUCUGUAUCUCAGAAUGUCAUAUAAGCCUGUUAGAAGACUCUGCAAAGCAUUUGAUGUCAACACAGUUACUUUGAUCAAAUGAACCUGUAUUAAGAAAAAAGUGAUGUUUGGCAAGACUUAGCUCUCCUUAAGCUGUUUCAAUGCUGAUCAGUUAUUUUAGUGUCCCAGUUCUAAACUGCAGUCUUUAUUUUCUAUUCUAUGAGUUUAUUCAGUAUCAGUGUCAAAGUAAAAGCACAUAUUUAUAUAUCUGGUAUCCAUAAUGAUUUGAAAAUACUUUGUAUUAAUAAAAGCAAAAGGUCUGAGUAUGUGGUAAUUAAAACAAUAAAGAAAUCACAACAAUAUGAAGACUGAAUUUAAGAUAAAUAUAAGAAGCAGAAAGUACAAAAAUGUAUAGUAAGGAAUGAGUAAUAUUUCUGUGCUAACGGCAACAUAUUCUUCUACAUUUCUUUGAGGCACCAAGAUCAGACAUUUAUGUAAUCAGAUCAUGCAUUUGUAUUUUUGAAUGAUAUUUGUGUUUUAAAUGUAUGUUCACAAAGAAUGGCAGUACAUACUUCAUUUUAAAAGUGGGUUAGUGCCCUGUGACUGCUGUAUUUCCCAUCCUUCAUCUUUAUCAGUUAUUCCUUUUAUGUAUACUAUAGUCUGUGAAAGCAGAAGUCUUGUGCUUAUUUUUGAGUGUUUGUCUCUAGAAUGACACAUGACACAUUUUGUCAUGAAAAUAAUUUAUAUGCCUUGCAUGGAACAAGUAAACUUUCCAUGAGAAAAGUCUAGAGCACUUCAUCAUGUAGAUGUCACAUAUAUAUUUGUGUAACAUACAUUUGGACUCUGAACACACAUGGAAGUAAAGAAAAUAAGUAACAGUCUCAGCCAAAAGUCUGAAGUCCUGCAGAGGAGCUGGUAACUGAAUACAGUCCUGUUUACUUCAGCAUUUGUGCUUUAACUAGAAAGCCAUCCUUUGAAGCAGUGACAGGGAUGGGGCUAAAUUUACUCAGUAUAGUUUUUUUUAGUAUAAUUUAUAUUAAGUUUUUGCACCUUUGUCUUCCAGAACAUUUUUCGGGACAUGAAAUAUAAAUUCCUUGGGUUCUUUAGCUUCCUUUUGAAAUGGGUGCUGUAAUGCUCUUUGGUCCUCUGGCAGUUUUUCUUGUGUUUUCUUGUGUUUAGUUUACAAGCUCUUUGGAACAGAAAUCAUUUUGAUCUGUAUAAUCUUUCUGCUUGUAAUAAGCAUCAUGUUCAAUAACUAACAGCAAAUGCAUCCUAGUUAAAUAGUAAAAGAUACAAAUACAAUGAAAAAAUUUGCUAUCAGAGGAAAAGAGUAAUGAGUUUGUCUCUGUAAAUACUGAUGUUUGAAAGACACCUUUUAUGUGGAGGGUUUCUGUUGCAAGAUGAAUGUCUGGAUUUUUAAUGUAGUCCAUGCAAUAAUACAUAUAUUGCUUAGUUCAUUGACUCGCCUCUUAUCUCUUACUUGAAGAAUGUCCUGUGAAAUUACACUUCUGUACAUGGUUUAUAGUUUGAAAGGAAUUGCCCAACCUAAUCUCCUGAAUUGUUUACCCCUACUGUUCUUUUAUAUUUUUGCAUAUAUUUUAGUAUCUUUCUGUUGUUGGUUUUUGUCUAAAAACUACGAAUACUAAUUAUCUGCUGUUAUUUUCAGUUCUGAUGUGGCUCUGUAUUAAAUAUUAGUUGAUGUGUAACUGGGUUUUUUUCACUGAAAUUCAAGGAAAGUAAGAGUUUGUUCUUUCACACUUGUUUAAAUUUUAAUUGCCUUUCAAGUAACAAACAAGCUUCAAGCUAAGACUUGCAGAUGUUGAAAACUAGGUCAUCUUGUUUAUGCACAAACUCUGCUUGCUGUACUACUGAGUUAUGGUCUAUAAAAACACAUUAGAAGGAUUCUAAUAGAAUUAGGCAAGUCAAUAAGAAUUUUAUAGUAUCCUUAUUGCAAGUUGCCAUGAAAUAACCAUUAUUUUUUAUUAGUUAUUGAGCUGCUAUAAUUCUGGUUUUUGCUUAAUUGGUUUUACUUUAUUAAUCCAGAAUAUGAUAGUUAAUUUUUAAGGAGACUUUUCACUAAAAAUGUAAGCCAUAGAAUCAAAGACUGGUAUUUAACCAGAAUUGAUCCUGUGGUUUCCAUAAUUUGAAAUAAUUUGUGGGGCACCUUUACACAGGUCACCACAAAGAGAACAGGGUCAUACAAGACCACAUAAUCAUACGUGGCCAUUACACGGCCAUCGUUUUAGCCAUGACAUUAAUUUAGAAUGUGGUGAUUUAAAGGUUCUUACUUCUGUCACCUCAUGUUAGUCAGACCAUAUGCUGUCAGCCAUUCAGUUUGCUAAAGUGGUGCAUAAACAGGCCAACAGUUUUGGUCUUCACUGCAAAAUCUUAUAUUGGACCAUUAAUCAGAAGUAGAGGAUAAGUGGUAAAAUGGUGACAUCACAUGAAAAAGAUCUUCAGUGUCACAGCAGCAGUUUGUACAUAUUUAUAAUGUUUUUUUAGAUUUAAGCACAAUAUUAGAGCUUCAUUUACCCCUACUAUUAUCCAACCUUGUUCAGAAAAAAUAACACAAAACUAUAUGAGAAUUGAGAGAAAAUUGUUAAUGUUUUAUUAGUCUUAACUCUUCUGUAUUAUUUAUCUCAGAUUCUGUAAAUGAGUAGAGUGCUCAUGCUGCUAUUCAUGUUAAUAUGAAUUCAAGAGCCUCAGUGUUUGUCUCCAAGACUUACCUUCCUUUUGUUUUUUUAGGUAUUUCAUAUUUGUCAUCUUUUUAUUACUUAGAAAUAGGAUAAGAAUAGUUAACCUGGGAUCUUACUGCAGUGCUUGGUAGGUUGAGUAUAUUGCCCACAUGAAAGCUCUCUCACUUUCCCUGUUUCCUCCUGUUCUGCUUGAUAUCUUCCUGUCUGCUUCUGCUUUACAGACAUGAAUUAUGUAGAUGAUCUGGUGCUAUUUGUGUUUAUUUGUUUAUUCCUUCACUUUCUGAUAGUGUGUGGGUAUGCUCAAAACAGUAGAAUUUUAAACUCAGUGGGGUGAUAGAAGAGAAAUGGAGAAAGUUGACUUUGUUAUUUAGAACAUUACUCAUUUAGAAAAUUUAUUUUAUUAUUUGAGAUGCAAUUUGCAAAAACAACUAGGUUAGGUUGAUAGAGUUCUAUUUUUCACCAGAUGACUGGAUUUUUAACAAAACCUUUUCUUCAUGACAAAUGUCUAUUUCUCUAUUUAAAGCUAAAUAACUGAAAACUGGAAAAGAUCCCAUUUUCAUCUGAAAUUUGCAGUAUUUCAAUGUGAAUAACACUGUAGUUAGUAAAUAAUUAUCAGGUUUGAUAUCACUGCUUUAACUUUUCUUUGUACACUGUAUUUUUGACUUCACUACAUGGUCUGCUCUCCCUUCUUUACUCCACUUCAUCAUGAGGAAAGAAAUAAUAUUUCCUAGUUAUUUUUUUCCACACUCCUUUACAGAUCAAGACACAUUAUAAAGAAAAUCUUGAGGCACAUUUAAGAGCACAUUUAAUAGCAGCAACUGUUGCAGGAUUAAAGCACAAUUUAACCCUUGCUAGCAUUUUAUUGAAGUCUAACCCGUGAUUUUUUAUAUUCAUUUGUGCACAGAUCUCAGUGGCAUCACUUAAGUAGUUAAACAAUGCAAUCUGUACUAAUGCCAUAAAGUGAUUGUGUAGGAUCUUCUGAUCUCAUCUGUUUCAGAAUUAUUAAAAAACUAUACAGACAAACUGUCUCCUACGUCUUGUCAGAUGCUAGAUUGGAACUGCAGGUACAGGUAAUAUGUUUUCUUGGAACAAUUAGUGCAGUUUGAAAAGUAGCAUUUGGUCACAGAAGCCCCUUUUUUGGAUCUGAAAGAGAACAACAAACUUCAGAAUUAAAUACCAUUGAGAAUAAUUGGUCUCAGAUCAUAUGAGAAAGGAAAUAGUGAUAACUACAGAGAGCAGCAGAGAGGGAGGAAUUAGACAGGAAAUAGAGGUGCCAAGAUUAUCAUUUACUUGGGGAGAGUAGUAGGUAAAUUGUAGCCUGUGGAAAAAGAACAUGUUUCAGUCAACACCAGUAGAAAAAUCAGAAGUAACUUAGCUUGAUCUUCAAAUUCUGUUUCUGGAGUUUGAAUUUGGUAGGGAAGGGAAAUAAACCAAGCCACCCAAUUUAGUGAAUGAUUUACUUAAAUUUGCCCAAUUUAGUGAGCAGCACUGAAGCAAUACUAUUAUUUUAGUGCAAUUUUAAAGGCAUUUUCUUCAGAGAAGGCUUAUAGCUAAGUUCCUCUGAAACUACUUUUCAUCUAUUGUAUAUUCAUGUAUUGUGAAGAAAAUACAAGAUUGUUGAAUAAGCAGGGAUUUUUUGUUUGCUGGGAGGUUUUGCUUCAGAUAUAUUUUUUCCUUUUUACUGUUCUCGGAGGGAUAUCUUGAUGGUAUUUGUCUUAUAACAGUUGACUUGCUUUAGAGACUGUUUAGAUAAGUAGGCUCUUUGCCACUGAUCACAACCCCUUGAGACCUGCCAUUCAGUCAGUUCUUAAUCCACCUCACCAUCCACCUGUCCAGCCUGCACUUUCUGAGCUUGCCUCAGAGGAUAUCAUGGGGGACAGUGUCAAAAGCCUCACUCAAGUCGAGGUAGACAACAUCCACUGCUCUCUCCUUGUGUAUCCAGUCACUUGUCAUUGUAUAAGGCAAUCAAGUUAGUGAAGCAUGAUUUCUUUUGCUUGUUGUCACUUUUGUGUAACACUGCUGAAUUGUUAUGAAAUUUCCUCAACUGGAUUUUGUAUACAUACAUAUAAUACAUGCACAUAAUGAGAAAAGGUAAAGUUGUAGAUAACUGUAGAAUUUUAUUUCAUUUGAUACUGUCAUUGUGUGAAGCCUUUUUAGACUAGAAUUGUAUUUAGAUAUCACACCAACACCAGUUAGAAGGCUACAACUGGUACAGAAUUAUAAUAAGAAUUUUAAUUCAAACUAUGUCCCAUAUGUAGAAUUUGGAUUUGCAAACAAUACUUAAUUUUAAACUAAACUGAACAAAAAACAUGACAGUAAUUCCCUUGAAAGAUUAGUAGAUCAAAACCCAUUUAGUGGCAGGCUUCCAUUUCUGAUGAUACAUUUUACUGAAAGUAAUCAGUACCCCAUAAUGUAACUGAGAUAACAUCCUUAAAGGAGCAGAAACAAUUCAGAUGGAUUGUAAAAAUAAAUAUAGAUUUUUCUUAGCUAAAUCUGUGUCAUAUUUGAAUUUGUAUGUCUGUUAUAGUACUUUAUAAAAGUGGAAGAAGGUAUUCUCAUCAUUGACCUAGUAGGUAUAAUUUUUUGCAUGUAGGAAGGCAAAAUUUUGACUCACCAGGCUGCCAAGCUAGUCUUCCUUGAAAAUAUUUAAUGUCAGCAUUUAAUCAAGUAUUAUAUUUACUAAUUACCCUGACAUCCCCUUCUCCAAAUCAGCUACACUGGAGGUAAAAGGUGACCCAAAAGAAGUCUUUUGCUAAUCUUGUCCUAGCUUUGCACCUAGGCAGAUUCAUUCAAGGACUCAAGACAGCAGUGUAUCUGCACUGCUAAGAUUAUCUUUGUCUGGGUAAACAGCCAAAAGCUAUGUGGACUUUUCGCCAGUCUGAAAAUACAUCCCAGGUGUUCAUUAGAAAUUUUUUUUUAACUCUUGAAAAACAUUUUGGUGGAACAUCAUAAGCAAUUGAGAUAUACUUUCUAUUGCUAUUUCUUCAGACUUUUUCCUAUUUUCUUAAGUGAAGAUGGCUAUUUUACUUUAGCUAGGCUGUGAAGAUUCCAGGUUUCCUUUCCAAGAAUGAAACUAAAUCCUCAAUCCUGCUAAAGAAAAAUAUGACUCUUUACCACAAUACUUACACAAGUGACACACAUCAUGGCUCUAACAAUGAUGGUUUAAAGUGCUAUUUGCCCCUCUUUUGAGUCCAUUUAUUUUUUAUUAAAACAACCACAAUACCUUUUGUUAAGACAUAACCAGAGUUUUGAUUUUCAAUUGUUCAAAAAGAAAAAAUGUUUUAGAUACAUGAUGUCUCUACACUAAUGUAUUACUUCUAUCUAGUAGGAAUAUUCCUAUGAAAGCACCUCAGAGUCUUAUAAUUUUGCAAAUAGUCAUUAUCAUCAGAGAUAAGGAAAAGCAUCUUGAUAGAUUAAAAUAAAAUAAAUUAUCUAUAUAUAAAAUAGAAUCAAAGUUUUACUGUUAAUUUUAUAAAGAGUUUCUACAAUUCAUGACUAAAGAGGUAUUUUUAUUAGAGUAAGAACAAAUAAAGGACAUUAAGUGUGACUGAGGUUUGGGAAUUUCUGCCAGCAUUUCAUGACACUGUUGGAGUUAAUCACCAAUUAAACUAAUAUAAUUUCAUUAUAUUGUCAUGUAUUAAUGUAGCAAUAUUCCACACAGAAUAGAAAGAGCUGCUUGCAUUCUAGAGCUAUAUAUAAGCAUAUUUAAGAAUUUUUUUUCUUUGGUCAUAAUUUGCUGGAAGGUUUUAUAUAUCUAUAGGGAAACAAUUUUGAUAUUUGUAUCAUUGCAAAUUCCAUUUGGACUUCACCUUUAGAUUGGUGCUUGCUCUAUGCCACAUACAAUUUAACUGACAGCCAAAGCAGGAUUGAAGUUGUUGCUCAGCACCUCAUGACUGAUCUUUCUUCCUGUGUUUAAAAAAGAGCUUUGGGUUUUUUCUUUUUUAAUAAAUUACACUAAUUUGUUGUGCAGUUAACUUGUAUUUUAUACCUAUAUUUUUAUUUGUUUCAAAGUGACCAAGUUUCCAUCCUAGAGUGUCUGUCCAAAUAGAAUUACUACUGUAUCUUGGGUAAUAUUCCUCUGGGGUUACUUCUUUAGGAAUUACAAUAAUCAUUGUGUAUGUCUUAUUUACGAGGUGGUAGGUUGUAUUUUUGUCUCCAAUUUUUCAUUCAGAAACCUUUAAGUAGUUCAUAUACAAAUACAAGAUACUAAUUUGUCUGUAAAAUAUUCUGUGGUUGAUAAUUUAAAAAGUGUAUUGUGAUAUAUACCCACAAGAUGGCAGAUUAACUUUAGCAUGUGUGACCUUUAGCAUUUGUUGAAUAUUGUGUGUGGACGUGAAGAUUUUAUGGUUAUUGAUGCCAGAAAGCUUCUGUCUGCCUGUUAAAUGGAUAUAUAUUGGAAGGAGAGUGACUAUGGGCAGAGUGCAUAAGCACCUUGCCUUUGUGCAGUUGUAAAGAUUAGUCAAAAUUGAAUCAAUUAGUACCUGAGAAUAAUGAAGCACUCCCAAUCUCUCCUGACUUUAUAAAAACUAUGCCUUUUCUGCUAACCACUUGAAAGAUAAAAUGUUUGCUGUUUACAAAUGAUAUAGUGAUUGAUGGAAGAAUGUCUGAUGUAAUCUAUGACAUCUAUGACAAGGUGUCUCAGUGGAGGAGGGAAAAGCUGAGGAUGUCAUCUACCUAGGCAUUACUUUGACACUGUUUUCCACAGCAUUUUUCUGGAGUAACUGGCUGCUCUUGAUUUGGAUAUGUGUACUCUUCUCUGGGUAAAAAACUGGCUGGGUGACUAGGUCCCAGAGAGUGGUGGGGAAUGGAGUAAAAUCCUGUUCACUGUGAUGUUCCCCAGGGCCCAGUACUAUGGCCAAUACUAUUUAAUAUAUUUUUUUAUUAUCUUGACAAAGGGAUUGUGUGCAUCCUCAGUCAACUUGCAGAUGACACAGAGUUGGAUGGGAGUAUUGAUCUACUUGAGAGCAGGAAGGAUCUGCAGAGGGAUCUGGGCAGCAGAUUCUGGUUUGAUGGGCCAAGGUCAAUUGCAUGAGUUUCAGCAAGGCAAAGAACCAGGUCCUGCAUUUGGGGCAGAACAACCCCAGGCAGUGCCACAGGCUUGGGACAGAGUGACUGGAAAUCUUUUCAGGCAGAAAAGGACCUGGGGUGUACUGAUUGACAGCAGCUCAACACGAUCCAGCUGUGCCCAGGUGGCCAAGAAGGCCAAUGGCAUCCUGGCCUGUAUCAGCAGUUGUGUGGCCAGCACAACCAGGGCACUGGUGAGGCCACACCUUGAAUGCGGUGUUCAGUUUUGGGCCUGUCUCUCCCAAGAGAUGUUGAAGUGCUAGAGCAUGUGCAGAGAAGAGCCAGCCCACAUGAACAGAUCGGUAAGACAUCCAGGUGUCUUGUAGCUCUUGCCCUUACAGGAAAAUAGAGGUCCGGCCCAAUUCAAUAAUGCAACCUCAGAAAACUUAUGUAACAACUCUGAUGGUAAAUGUGAACCACAAACCAGAGAAUUCUGCAGCUUGCUUUUUAGUCCUCACCCUCCAAUGCCCCCAUUUCAGGGAACUUGCUGAACGCUGAAAAUCCUUACCAGUCAGCAUUUCUUUCCUGGGGAAACCCAGUGUGCUGGGAAGAUAAGAGAAAGGAGAUACUCACUGUGUCUUGCCUAGUGCAAGCUCAGCCUGAGGUAGGGGCAUACAGCCACAUCUGAGAGCUGUGAGGUGCUGCCUAAUGUAGGUGUAACCUGAGGUAUAAGCUAGAUGUCUGGGGUGAGGAGAAAAUAUUUUGCUCCCCUUCCAUUUAUGCCAUCUCCUUUUUUUGCUGGGAUGCAUUUCACCUGCCUGAUUCAUUAUUUGUAAUGUUUACUGCUGCCCUUCACUGAGUGGUGUUGUGCUUGUACUUUAGCAGGUUCUCUGAUUUUUGGUCAGCUGAUGUUUCAAGUCAGUAAUAAAACCGGCAAAAUGCUACAAGCUGGCCAUUGUUAAGAGCAGGCAAGCAGAAUGUAAUAGUCUGUGUGCAUUUUCACUGCACACAGUGAAUAAAAGCAAUGUGUGUUAACAGUUGCAGCCUAUUUUAAAUUCUGUUUCUGUAAUGUCGGCAUUUUCAGCUUUUGGUCAUAAAGCAUCCUCUUUUGUGAUUUUAUAACUAAAAUAGCAUUUUGUAGAGUGUUAAGCAUGUUAAUUCAUAAAGAUUUUGAAGCCACUUUGUUUCAUUGAUUAAUUUCCAUAAGCUAUUAUUAAUAAAUCUGGAACUUCCUUCA